CUUUUUUCCCUUUUUCCUAAAACUUAAGCGGAUUUUUAUUUUUCUCAAAACCUCUUGCUGCCAAUUUGAUCAGACUCCUUUUUCCCUUUCUUUUUUAACUUUGCUCCCAACUUUCAUCAGACCCAUUCCAAAAUAUCUCUUCCUAUUUUUCCCCAAAUCUCAACCCUCAAUUUCCACUUCAGUUUUGUUCAGAUCCUUCGUCCGGAGCUUUCGUCCAGUGCUUUCGUUCCAUUGUGCUCGUCGGCUAGGUUGAGCAAAGUGUGGUCGCCCACCAGUUCAGCAAAGUAUGGUCGUCGGCCAGGUUCAGCAAAGUGUGGUCGUCGUGCGCAACCUAACUCGCGACCAGGUUUAAUUCUUCAACCUGGUAUUUUUCCCGAACCCUUUUCUAAACCUCUUAUGCCCUGACAUCAAUGUUGUAGUAGAAGGUUGUUGCUUUGAAUUUAUAGACAUCCCUUUUGAUUUUAAAUUACUGUUGAUAAUUGUGUGGUUUGUAACUAAGAAAUUAUGGAAAACGUGGUUUGUCUGAUUAUCUUUGCCAUUGUGUUGGUCUGUUAUGUAUGUAUUAAUAUUAAAAAUCAGAACUAGAGUAAAAAGGUUAUUUGUCUUGGCUGUUGAAGGUUGGAUUAAGUUUCUUUUACGUAGUCAACUGAUAUUAUGAAAGUAGAAGUCUUUUGUGCAUUGUUGUUACUGGAUCUGUGCGUGUUUAAUGAAUUUUGGAAAGUUCCUUUUGGACAAGUUGUAAUAUAUUAGGUUUAAUAGUUAGACAAAUGAGUUAAGUAAAGAUUGAACAGGUUGCAUGUUAAAACUGGUACAAGAUAUGAGUUAAGUCUAUUGCCUAGAGUUUGAACAGAAUAUGUUUUUAGUCUAAUAGAAACAGCCUUAACAUCAGAGACAUUCCUGGAGCAUGAUGUAUAUUUGUACGUUUGAUGCUUUUGCUGCACUGAAAUUUUGGUUCUUGGUUGUUUAUUGGUGCUGUGUUAUAUUUUUUAAAAGAAAAAGAAAUUAGAGGUUUGAUGCUUAAUUUAGUACUCUCAGAUUAUAGGACUUAAGUAUAUGGGUUGAUCAUUGUAGUAGUUGCUGGUUUUGAGUGUGAUGCAAUUAUACUCUGUUUUGUGUACUCUGUCUGUUUGAGGGGCAUAGCUUGGAUGUCUAUGCAUACUGUUAAAGUUUAAAUACGGUUAAGGUAUUCAUAUCUCCUUAGAGAAAAAAUGUCUCCACUAACUCAUGGAUAAAGCAUUGUGUUGACAAAGUAUAUUAAACUGAAAUCAUUAAAAUACUAAUUCAACUUAAGAAUUUCAACAUUAACAGCAUAUGUAAGGAUAAGAUCAUAUUAUAAAAAAAGGUUAUUUAUAUAUAGCUGCUGUUAAUCAACAUUAUAUGUUCAAUCUCAUGUACAAAAUAACUUUAAAAAUCACCAAAGUAAUCAAACACUGACAACUUCAAGUCCUCAUGAUGUGUUAUAAAUAUCUUAUAUUAAUUUUAUCUUCCCGAAUUUGGUUAAAGUUAAAAUUAUUUUAUUUGCAUAGAAACCUGAUAUAUAUAUAUAUAUAUAUAUAUAUAUAUAUAUAUAUAUAUAUAUAAUAUUGUUUUCCUUAUUUUUUAAUCUUCUGUUAUGAAUGUUGAUUUUAGUGGUUUUUAUUUGUGAAUUAUCAGUUUAGUGCAUGAUAAGAGUUUCAGUUUGAUAAAUGAUUAAUUUAUGAAAAACCGCAAUUCCUAAUAAAGAUGGCAUAAAUUAAACAAAUAUUAAAUAAUUUAUGGACUUUAAUUUAGUCGUUUUAAUUGGUUUUUAAUUACAUUAAUGAAGAAUAAGAAACUAAUCUAUGGAUUUACAAGAUGCAGUUGUUGAGCAAAUAAUGUCACCAAGAUAAAAAUAUAGUUGACUCUAUCUUUAAGAACAUAAGAAACAAACAUAUUAAGGAUUAAAUAUGUCAUCUUUUAAAAUGUUUUUCGUCAAACAAACUCCCUUAUCUAUUUACAGUAUCGAUCAAAUUCCCUUUACUUACAAUUCAAAAUAUUGGAAUCUAUCUUUCUUUUAUAACUGUACCAUAGAAUCAUUGUUUUUUAUUGUAUAUUGAUUUGCUAUUUGAAAAUUUUGUGAUUUCACUUGGCUUAUGAUUAUAAAUUGUAAGGUUUGAAUGCUUGUGUUAUUGUACUGUGAUAUAAUAAGGUAUGUUGUUCAUUUAAUUCCAGCCAUAUAAUUUUAUAUUCCUGUUAGGUGCUUUAAGUAUGGUGGUGAUUGUAUUGGUUAUUGCAUGGGUAUUGAAACUGGGUUAUUGAAAAAAUAUAAUGGAAUAAUGAGGAAAAGUUGGUGUUUUAGUUCAUAUAAAAUUAGUUUUCUUAUAUGGUUUUAAAAGAAAAGUAAUCUCUAGGCAUGAAUAAGUCUUUGAGCAUUGACAUAUUUAUCUUGGUCAAAAUGAUUGAAUCCAUAAUUUGUUGAAACUAACGCAUAAGUAGGUGGUGCAAUGUUUAUGGAUUUUUUUAAAUAUAUAAUUGGUUAUUUAGUUUUUUAAAUUCUGGAAAAUUGUGCAUGAUAUAAAAGAAAAAUUGAAAUUUAAAUAUCUUUUUUUAAGUAAUAAACUAGCUUUUUAUAACUUGAAAAAUCUGUAUCUCUUUAAUAUUUUGAUUAUUUUGGGAUAUGAAUUUUUACCCUCUAAACCUAUUACUCUAAAGCUUACCAUCAAUAACAAGUAAUGCAAUAUAAGCUUAUAGUUUCAGCUUUUCUCCUAAACCACUUUGUAGGUAGUUCACAGAUUCAAACGUGCUUAUUAAUAAGCUGGUGUUAUAACUAAACUUGGGAGGCAUUGUGUUAUUACUGUGUUACUGAGUUGUUCUACUAUUUGGCUGCCAUCAAACUUUGGAAUCUCAUAGUUCUCAAGGUUAGUAAAUUUAAUUUCAUUUGGAAGCAUUUUAUUUAUUAAUUCAAUAUUUGUUUGUAUAUUCAUGAAUAUUGUUAUCUUUUUGAUGUGGUAGUGUAUUCCAUUUUGUUUAGGAAUAAUUUUGAAUGGAUUAAUCUUGGCAACAAAAGUACAACAGUUUAGAAUCAGCGCUUAAAGCAUACAUGAUAAUGAAAUGAAGGAAGGAAAGAUUCAUGAUGAAUUUACCUCAUUCUUUGAUUCUCAACUUCAAGUAAGUUACUGAUAUAGUUGAAGCAUUAUGUCUUAUAUACUUUAAUUAUAAGCAUUCCUUACUAUUAAUAUUUUUGUUUUAUCAUUUCAGGAAGGUGGUGAUGCAAAUGAGCCCAAGUCUUCUUUGGGUGGUACAAUAGGAUCAUUUGGUGCUAGAAACAUUUAGAAAGUUUAUGAUGUCUUUUAGGAUGAAACUAUAUUUAGCCUAUGGAUUUUGAGUAAUUGAGUUUAGUUGUAAUUACGAUUCAAUUUAACUUACUUUUAUAUACUAUGGUGUUUUUGAGAAUUGAAUGUUUUAAUGAUAUAUAAUUCAAGACUUUGGUAAAAGAAGUUUGUCAUGU
rnacentral:lncRNA from 1 species